CCUACGGGAGGCAGCAGUGGGGAAUAUUGGACAAUGGGCGAAAGCCUGAUCCAGCAAUGCCGCGUGAGUGAUGAAGGCCUUAGGGUUGUAAAGCUCUUUUACCCGGGAUGAUAAUGACAGUACCGGGAGAAUAAGCUCCGGCUAACUCCGUGCCAGCAGCCGCGGUAAUACGGAGGGAGCUAGCGUUAUUCGGAAUUACUGGGCGUAAAGCGCACGUUAGGCGGCUUUGUAAGUAAGAGGUGAAAGCCUGGUGCUCAACACCAGAACUGCCUUUUAGACUGCAUCGCUUGAAUCCAGGAGAGGUGAGUGGAAUUCCGAGUGUAGAGGUGAAAAUUCGUAGAUAUUCGGAAGAACACCAGNGNGAG
rnacentral:rRNA from 1 species